GGAGGAGCGGGGGCAGCCGCUGCAUCUGCCGGCCGGGCAGGAUGGUCGGCGGGUGCGAUGGAGCCGCCUGAGGGCUGGGACCCGUACGGGCGGCCGGCCCGGCGCACGCAGUGGCUGGUCAGCGCCCUGGCUUAUCAUUACGGACUGGACCGCGGCGUGGAGAACGAGAUCGUCGUGCUGGCCACCGGCCUGGACCAGUACCUGCAGGAGAUCUUCCACCACCUGGACUGCGCCGGGGAGGGCAGGAUCCCCGGUGAGGAUUUCCGCACGCUGUGCCAGGUGCUGGGGCUGGAAGAGGCGGCGGAGACGGCGGCCGAUCCCGAGGAGUGCGCGGCGCUUUGGGACGGGCUGUCGGCCGAGCUCACCUUCCGCCAGUUCCACGCUCGGCUCUGCGGCUACUUCAGCACCAAGGCGGGCAGCGCCGUGCCACGGCUGCCGCUGGGCCGGGAGAGCGAACACAUCGAGACCCAGAUCCGGCUGCGCAGCCCCCGCCGCCGCCGGAGGGACGCGGCCGGGCCGGGCUCGGGGCGGCGGGGCGGGGAGGCGGCGGAGCGGCGGGCGGCAGGGACCUGCUCUGCUGAGUGCUACGAGGAGAUCGUGGCGCUGGAGCGGGCCGAGGACCGCAUCGCUAAGCUGGAGGAGGAGAACGGCAGCCUGCGGGAGCUGGUGGAGGACAUGCGGGCCGCCCUGCAGAGCAGCGAUGCGCGAUGCCUGGCGCUGCAGGUAGGACUGCGGAAAAGCCACGCUAACCAUAAGGAAGAAGGAACCUGUUUUAUAGGGAGUAAGAAACUGUUAACACAGAACCACUCCCAGACCAAGUGCCUUCAAAGUGUCCUGAAAGAAGUAGAACUCAUCCGGAGCUCCAGGGAUGGGCAAAUCGAAGAAGCAAUUAGAUUCAAUCAAGAACUGGAACGAGAGCUGAAGAGCUCUCAGGAAGCACUAGUCAGUCUGGAAGACUGCAACCGUAACCUGAAAAGGGAGCAAGCAGAAAUGAGGAAAAAGGUAGAAGAGGCGAGACAGGCAGUCCGUAACAGCCUUGGCAAAGUGAAGGAGCUAGAAGUGAAAGCUAACGAAGUGCCACAUUUGCAAGUAUACAUUCAGCAGCUAGAAUCUGAACUGCAGCACUACAGAUCAGAAAUUGUGAAAUUCCAGCUUACUUCCAGAAGCAGCCCAGAGCAGAAAGAUGCAACAGCCUUAUCAGAUGGAUUCUGCUUUUCUGUUGUGCAACAAGACCGAACAUCUCCCACUGGCAGAGCUGGGAUUACUGAAAACGCAGACGAGCAGCUGUUCCGGGCAGUGGAGGGCCAGGCGGCCUCUGAUGAAGAGGAGGAGAAGUGGGCAGGAGACCAGCAACCUGAGACAGCCCACAUAAAGGAGAUACUGGCUAAGCUCCCUUGCUGUGGCAGUGGAUGUGAUGAAAAAAAAACGAAAAAGCUCAUGACUUACUUGGAGACCAGCAGUGCUGAUGGCUAUGAAGCUGCUGUGGAGCUAGAGGAGCGAAUCAGCCAGCUCAGUGAGCAGCUGGAGCUUAAAGGGCACGAAGUGAAGAAACUGGAAACAAAUAUGGAGGAGGUAACAGAUGAAAGGCCCGUUGCUAUCUGAACUGCAGCAAAAGGUGGAGGAAACCGAAAUGUUGAAGAUGGAGCUACAGAUGUUGGAGACUGAGAGAGUUAGGCUGUCACUGGUGGAAGAAAAGCUCAUGGAUGUUUUACAGCUUCUUCAACAGCUGCGAGACUUGAACAUAUCUAAGCGAGCCUUGGGGAAAAUCUUGCUGAGCACUUUGGAAUCCUGUCAUGACCCCCAACAUGGAAAAGCCCACCUGUUUGAAGUCCUAGAUACUCUUUACCAUGAGUUGACAGCCUGUGAAAUCUUACAAAGCCAGCCUCUGGAGAAGGCUCAGAGUCGCCAGUCCUUGACUAACCCACUGGUCAUCUCCUGCUGAGCAGCAGUGCCAGCUUCAGCCACACGACCAACUGAGCAACAGCUCUCAUUCAUUCAAACAUGGGAUGAGUCAUUAUGAUCUGCCAAAUUCAAAGUAACUCAGUAAAGGAGAAGAGUACUAGAAUGAUGAAGCCAUGACAUCAAACACCUGCUAUUUCUGGGAAGAACGUCAGUUUCUCUGCUAACAUCACGUCCUCCCUUAAGUUAAAGAGCAUUACCUUACUUAGCAGCCCAGCCAUCCUUGCACAAUGGCCCUGGAGCUGAAGUGGUUAACCAAAUAAAAAGAAUUCCAAAUACAUCAACCUGACCCUUUUAGAUUUACAGCCCUGGUUACACUCUGCCUGAACACAAAUUCUAGCUUUUGUGAUAACUCAGUUCAAAAGCAAAAGUCUGCCUAUGUAUUCAGAGGCAAGUAAACUGUUUCUACAACAUACAAGUAGCCAAAAGACUAUAUUAAAAGAAUACACUGAAGUGUAGCCAGUAGUGCAAGUCUUAAGGACUCGUGUUUAAAAUACAGUUGUGUGCAUCUGUAUAUGUGAUUCAGUUAUUCGCCUUAUUUAAUGCUAAAGAUAGAUCAGUUAUUGCCAUGCUGAAUUUUAUAUUUGCAAUUACACAGAUCUCUGGAAUAGCCUUUGCUGACAAAAGGCUUAGAUUUUAUAUUAAAAUUUCCAUUUUAGUUCUUGGAAAACAUAUAAUAUAAAGGGAAGGACAAAACAUUCGCUUUGCAGCAGCUGCCACUGUUGCACAAGCAAAUGCCACCUGCAGUAUCCGACCUUGUUUUCUCAUUUAAUUUCCCUCAGUGCAUGUGAACUUACACAAAGAUAGGCCCCACUAGCAAACAAACUACAUUAAAAUGCUGUGUCUAACCAUGGUGUCAUUUUAAUCAGCAACUGAAUAAUUCCUGGGGGCAGAAUUGGAAUAUGUAUAUAUAUAUAUAUAUACACAUAUAGUUCCCAUAAUACUUUCACUGUUUCAUUCAACUCUCAAACACAGAAACUAAAGAAGCAGAGUCCUUAAACCAUUCAGUUGAACUUACGUUAUUUUAAAGUGUGCUGGAGAUCUUUUAAGAAUAUGAUCUCAUUUGCCUGAGUUAGUGCCAGAGAUGAAAUAAGACCAUUCAGCUCAGAACUGUGCAUAUAUGAGUUUUUUUUCCAUGAAAAUUGAUUUCAUGUGGAAAAAAAAAAAAAGAUCUGUGCCACAAUCCAAUUUGGGGAUUAAGAGGAUUUCUAUUUCUUUUAUUCAUAAUGCACUCUGUUGCUUAUAGAUGCCUAGGACUUUCCCAGGAAGAGAGAAAAUGUCAUGAAAUUACAUCAGAAAUAGGUUUAUAAUGCACAUACAUGCCUGAUUAUGGCUACCUUCAUUAUUGCAGGAUUCCAUCAGCAUCCAAAUUAGUAAUAUUUACUGUAUCCACUCUAGAGAUACAUCUGCAUGUAUACUUGUAUUAUAUAUACUUAGCAAUGUCUUCAUAGUACUGUGUUAAUUAUAUAUUUUUUCUAUCUUUUUCACCACUGAGUUUCUACUUAACCUUCUCAUCUAUUUCUAGAAACCUAGAUAUAACCAGACUGAUGUGCUGAUGACAAAAGAGGGGAGGAGCAAUACAGUCCGAGUACUGCCUGGCUUAUCCAAGCAGCAGCUGAGACGUGAACAGAAACUGGAAAAUGUCACUUAACACUUAAGCUGGUGUUAAGGGAGUAGCAAACAGCUGAGAUAAAUGGAAGACUUUCUGCACAAACACCACUUAACUUACAUAAGAAACACCUAAAUCACAUCUUGUUAAGUUAGCUUCAAAUAACGACAUCCUUAUUUUCUUACAAAACGACUCUAUCAAAAUGAAUUUUGAUACAUCAGCAUAUCCUGAUUAAUCUUUUGAGUUGGACUUCCCUUUGUUAUAUUGAAUGUAACUGGAGAGAAUGUUUCAUUGCUGCAGCAAUUCAGGUGCCUACAAAAGAAGCUGAUUAUUUUAACUUCAAAAGGCAAUUUAUGGGGCAGCCCUCAAAUCCUGUAAAUCAGAGGCAUUGUACUUCUAAAAGACUUUCUUUAUUGACCUUAAAAUUGAUUAUUUUCUGAAAUACUUUUACCUCAAUGUUUUAUACUGUCUGUCAACCUCAGCUGGGGCUGAUUAAUAUUUAAUACGAAGCUGCAUAAAUCUGUGACUUUACAUCAGUGUAACUCAGAAAUUUCCAGCUCUGCCUCAAAAGCAGGUAGGCUUCCACAGCUUAAUUUAUUAUUUGGAUCUCAUUCAAAAGAGAUUGUAUAAUAAUUCUGGGAAGCAAAACCCAAAGCCUUAGGUUUUCUGGAGCCCUCCUUCAGUCGUUACCUCAGCAGAUUUCAGCUACUUUUCAUUAAAAAAUAAAAUAAAUAAAUACAU